rnacentral:rRNA from 1 species
CCUACGGGAGGCAACAGUGGGGAAUAUUGGACAAUGGGGGGAACCCUGAUGCAGCGACGCCGCGUGAGUGAAGAAGGAUUUCGGUAUGUAAAGCUCUAUCAGCAGGGAAGAAAAUGACGGUACCUGACUAAUAAGCACCGGCUAACUACGUGCCAGCAGCCGCGGUAAUACGUAGGGGGCAAGCGUUAUCCGGAUUUACUGGGUGUAAAGGGAGCGUAGACGGUGCAGCAAGUCUGAUGUGAAAGGUCGGGGCGCAACCCCGGGACUGCAUUGGAAACUGUUGAACUGGAGUACAGGAGAGGUAAGUGGAAUUCCUAGUGUAGCGGUGAAAUGCGUAGAGAUUAGGAGGAACACCAGUGGCGAAGGCGGCUUACUAGACUGUAACUGACGUUGAGGCUCGAAAGCGUGGGGAGCAAACAGGAUUAGAUACCCGAGUAGUC